rnacentral:rRNA from 1 species
UACGUAGGGUGCGAGCGUUAAUCGGAAUUACUGGGCGUAAAAGCGUGCGCAGGCGGCGCGUUAAGACAGGUGUGAAAGCCCCCGAGCUUAACUUGGGAAUUGCGCUUUGUGACUGGCGUGCUGGAGUGUGGCAGAGGGGAGGUGGAAUUCCACGUGUAGCAGUGAAAAUGCGUAGAGAUGUGGAGGAACACCGAUGGCGAAGGCAGCCUCCUGGGCCAGCACUGACGCUCAUGCACGAAAGCGUGGGGAGCAAACAGG